ACAAUACUGUUUUGGAUAUAAAGGUCAUUACUUGUGUGUCAGGAUUGAGAUCAGGGAUUAGCAGACAGUAAAUUCUUCUGUGGCCAUCAGCUGUGGUUUACACCUUUCCAAUGCUUUAAACUGCAUUGAACAAAUUGGAAUAAAAAUGUCAUUUGAGGGACUAUUCUGCAAGGACAGGAAAUUACCUAAAUAACCUAAUAUGUUUUUAUCCAUAAUUUUUGUUGGAGCUUUUAUUUUGUGAAAAAGGGAAAUUGAAACCAUUGGCUGAACUGACACUUUAAUUAAUCAGACUGUCUAUUUAACUCAGUUCAGUGGGUGGUGUACAGUAACUUUCAUUAGUCCAUGACACUCCAGCAGAGCUUGAGAACCUGCUGAAAUUCACGUUUCUCACAAUGUUCUGAAAAAUGCAGAGGUUUCCCCAUAUUUUCUUAGGGUUUUUGUUGAUAACCUAAUUUUUUCCUAAUAUUAUUUAUAUUAUGAGUGACCAAACUAAUUGAGAUAUACACCAACUGUCAGAACUAGAAGGAAAUUGUUAAACAGAAAGUUAGAUAAGUUCAGCCUUAAAAACUGGAAGGAACUUUAUGUAGAUAGCAGCAGAAAAAUGUCAACCAUCUUUAAGAGAAUUUCUGCAAGGUCUUCUAGGGACUGCAGAGCUGAGAGACAAGUAUUUUUGUGGAUAUUGGCAGAAAAUACUUUGCAGCCCUCAUCCUAUAUAAAUAAUGGGUGCACAUUUAAUAAUUAUAUUCUUCUGUGGUCAAGUAAUAGAAUAUUAAUGAAGGAACUUUCUAUUAAGGAUGAUUUCUCUGUCCAGUGUAAAGGUGAAUAUUGUUAGCUAAGGUGAGACCAAUAUUUAAAGGCUGAUAAUCGACAACAUAAAUUGCAACUACACACAGUUUGUGUUUUACUAGUUAAAGUUUUAUAAGUUUUAUAUAAAGUACUAUAUUUUGACCUAUGCAUCUCAAAACUUAUAGGUAACUUGCAGAUAAAUAGCCCCAGAGAGUACAAAUUACUUUUAUUUUGCCUCACAUUUCUGAAAAUCAAGUGACUCCUCUGGUCCUGCUAGCCUAGCUAGGGGCUGACCCUGUAGUCCUUUGUGUGCUGGCAUGUGGAGGAAUCCACAGAGUGUGAAACACAAAUGCUCACUCAGAAAAGAAACCCUGAAAUACAUGAUUUGCUAAAAUUCAAAAUUCUAUCUACAGUCUAAAAUGGGUGUAAGACAAGUUUAGAAGGUUAAAUUACCAUUAUUUAUUGCAAUAAUUCAAAAAAUGAGUAAUAUCAUUUAGGAAUAAAAGAAGAAUUUGCAGUAUUCUUAAAAUAAUCAUUAUAGAAUCACAGAAUAUCUUGGGUUGAAGGGAUGUGAAGGACAUCUCAUUCCAACUCCCAUGUCAUGGGCAUGGAUGUCAUUCACUAGACCUGGCUGCUCAAGGCCCCAUCCAACCUUGCAUUGAACACUUCCAGGGGUGGGGCAUCCAGAAUUUCACUGGGCAACUUUUACCAGUGCCCCAGCACCCUCUGAGUAAAGAGCUCCUUCCUGUCUUCUAAUCUAAAUCUUUCCUGUUUUAAAAGUUUAAAAGCAUUGCUCCUUUUCCUGUCAUGAUCUCUCUGUGUAAAAAGUUGCUCUCCCAGCUUAAGAACUUAGCAGAGCUUUGUACAAUCACAUGCAUCAUAAUAUUGAUAAACACUUAUAAAUUAUUUGAAGACAAUUUUUGGCUUAGACUCUACUGGCUUUGUCGGGAACAGAGUUAAAGUUCUUUACAGUAACUGGUAUGGGGCCAUGUUUGGGAUUUGUGCUGAAAACUGUUGAUAACACAGGGAUGUUUAAGUUACUGUAGAACAGUGCUUACACAGUGUCAAGAUCUUUUCUGCUCCUCAUCUUUCUCGUGUAACUUACUCCAUGCUUUUAAAAUUCAGGAAGCAGAAGGCACAAUAUGAGGUUUGAACAAACCUGAAGAUCGUGGUAGAAAACCACUGAAGAAGCUCCCUCUGGAACACUGUGCCUGAAAGGGACAGUGAGUUUAUUGAAUUAUAAACAUGAGGUUAUCAAAUACAAGAUGUGAAGUUACACAUAUUCUGUCUAGUCUGUCUUUUAGGGUAAAUGCUUUCAGAAUAUUGUAUUCAGCUACAGUAUCCUCAGUCUAAGAUAAAUUGCACAUAGUUAAAAAAAAAUUUGGGAAAAUUAGUAAAGAUUUGGAAAAAUGCUGGUUAAUAAGAGAUUUCAAAGAUCAAUAUAUUCACUUUAUUCAUUGGGAGUUUGUGAGUUUUACAUAAAUAUAGUCUUUAAGACACUUGCUUUAUAAAACAACAUUUUCAGCACAAAAUAUACAGUACAGUCACAGCUAUCCAGGUAUAUUGAUGUAUGGCAAAUCUUGAAGCCAAAACUAGUCAGAAUUAAAGUUUUAUUUUAGCAGUGAAAAUAAUAACAACUGGAACAACUUUCUGAAGGAUUAUUUUCUACAGGAUGGGAUCUGCUUCAUAUAAUAAAUAUAUCUUAGUCAAGCUCAUAAUUCUGCUUAGACAAUCUCUUAGUUUUUCUUUAGACUUUGAAGAGCCAAAUAUAGGUGUUUACUAUAAUUCCUCCCACAAUUAUAAUAUAUGGUUCACAACAUUUCUUCAAAUGCAUCCUGGAGCUUUUCACACUAAACAUAAUGGAAAAAUUUUCUCUUUGUUCUGCAGUAUUUGUUUUCUACUUGGAAAAGAUGAAGAUCACAACUUCCUUUGAGAUCAAAUAAAUGAGUGUGUUAGUAACUUGGGUAAGGUGGGAGCACUGAACUGUGUCAGUUAGUAAACUGCAUUAAAAAUGUGUCGGGGAAAUGUAUGAAGAGAAAUAUUCCAAAAUAUUUCCCAGGAUUGUCAAAGGAAAGCAACAUAUACAGCUUACAUUUGUUGAACCAACUUAGCUGUUUUCUAUUUUAUUUCUCCCAAGAAAGGACUACGUGGUCCGAAAUUCUCUCUGAUAAUUUCUGCUGUGUAGAGGGUCUCCAACAUCAAUGUAAAGCUGUGACUGUCAUCAGGGGGUACUUAGACAUACUUCCUCACAGUGAGGAAGGAACAGCUCCUGUCCAGCUCUGGUGAAGCACCUUUGCCCAGCACCUGGCUGCUAAGUUCUGGGGUGGUGUAUCACACCAAGGAUAUUAUACCAUUUCCCUUCUUUUUAAGCAUGAAGGAAAGAUAAAGGUCUCAAAGCCUUACAACAAGCUGGGUUAAGGCCUAGGAGACAUGCACCAUGUAAAAUGGAUGAGAUGAUCUAUAGUGACCCCAUCUUGAUAAUGUGUCUCUGUGUCUGAGGCUGCUGCUCCCUCAUGCUUUAUAGAACAUCACCAUUAUCCAUGUUGUCUGUUGAUCCCCUUUACUUCUAAUGAGCAAAGCUAAUUAGUCACAGGAGAUGAGAAUUAAAUACCACUGAAAGGGCAGCCAAAGCUGUUGUUCAGCCUGUUUACACAUUCAAUGAAGGAGGUCAUGAACAAAAGCUUUGCUACAUCCCCCCAAAGGUUUUUAGGCACUUUGACAUCACAGAUUUCUCUGUUUUCCUAGUUUUUCAUUUCCUUCAGCCUCUUACUUUCUUUUGCUCUCUCACUUUCUACUCUAGAAGUCUUCCACCCACACUACCCUGUUAAUAUAUUCAGCCUGGCUGUGCCUGAUCUGUUACUUUACAAGGUCCCAUGGCUGGUUUCUGCAGGCUUUCCCCAGUCCAGUUGCUACUUGCUGGUCCCCUUUUUCCAGAAGUAACCAUGACAACUUGUGUUGAACUCUUCAGUGCAGUUUUCAAUCUCCGUUCCCUAAAUUCUUGAUAACUAAGUUGCUAUUUGAAGCUGUCUUGUUAUACAAAAGCAAAUAUGAUUAUACACUGUGAUAAUGUGAUGGCCCCUGUCAAUAAUUGUAAAAUUUCAUAGCUUAAACUCUUUCAUGAAAAUUCCAUUUAAAAAAUCACGAGUUCUGUGAAUGCAAGUUAGGAUGCCAAUCAAUCAAUUAACUGAUUCUAUCACUUAGAUAGUUUUAAAAAAGAAAAUAAACAUGUGUGAGGUGCCAAAAAAUUCAAAGUCUUAAUGUAAGAUUAUUUGUAUCCUCAUCGUCUGGAAGCUUGAGGGUCAUCUAAACCAGUGAAUCAACUUUUUCCUGAAUAGGGUCACAUGUGCAUAUCCCCUCAAAAAAAUUAUCAAUACUCAGAAUAUAUUAAAAUCCACAUUUAGAUGUUUCCUGUUGAAUAGAUGCUGUGCAGAUUUAACUGCUGGCUUAAUUCAUUCUCAGACUGGCAAUGAAUUUUUAAUUACUGUCUGUUUAAAUUUCAGACUACUUCCACUAUUUCAGUGAGAUCAUCAAAAAUUCUAUUGCUUACAAGAUUUAUUUAAUUGUUUAUAGAGGACAUAUAAAUCUAUUUAAAAUAGGGAGAUGUAUGAUCACAGAAAGAUGAGAAAAGAAGCAGAAACAGACAGUGUGUAAGAUCAUGAUGAUAGUUUGCACUAAUAUUUCAUUCAGCAGUGGGAAGAAAAAGCUAUAGGUAGUUCAUAAUAACCACGGAGACAUAAUCUCCAAAUGUGCAAGUGACUGAAAGAUGCUAAAUCCACCAUUAAAUCAAAUGGCGUUUUUAACAUGUUUUAUGUCAUGGUGGUUUUGGUUUUAAUUAACCACUUAAUUUGUGUAUGGAUUAAUAAAGAUCAAAAUUUUGAAAGUCUUGAUUCCUCUUUCCUUUAGGAAAAAGAAAAUAAUUUCCUAAGGAUAAGAGUUACAAGGCAGAGAACUUUUAUAGUAACUAGCCACUCACAGCAAAGAAUUGGAAUAUGUAUGUUAUGCUUGCAUGACUGACUCCUGUGCAGGUAAAAACUGAUGAGUUACUCCAGCCAACUGUUUCUAGUAUUGUAUUCAACCUAAUAUCAAAUUGCAUAUGAGAGGAAGCAAAGAAUUUGUUCAUAAAGAGAAACUUCUUCACCUCCAGAAAACCAGAUGCAAAUCUAAAAUUCAUCAGUAAUGACUAAUGACCAAAAGCCACUGCUUUGCAGUGUCUGGGGCACUACAACACCCUGAGCUCCUUCCUGAACAACAGCAUUUUGUGUCAAAAGAAACAAUCUGAAUUGUCAGGGGCAGCUGGCUGGGUACAAGGCGCAGCCUGAUGUGCUGCUUCACUGUUACUGAGGGUUCAGUGCUGGCAAUCCCUGAGAGCACUUGCUGUACCUGUGCAUGAACAGAGCAGUAGCACAUGGAAAGAAGUCUUGCCCUGGCACUAAAUUCCAAAUGACCCAGUGAAGCUGAUAUCCAGCUGUUACAGGAAAUAAACCCAAGGGACAACAGGACAUGAGCUCAAUGCAUGGACUCUCAGCUGGUCAGCUGAUUUGUGCAGAACCAGGGAACCUGCAUUUUCUACCAGAUGUGUCAGAAGAGCUGUUAAGAUUUGAUAGUGACUGGAAUGACAAAUGCAACAAGAGAAAGAGGGCUUGUAGUGAGAGAAAACUGUUGAAAACUGUGGAGUUUCCAUUGGACAGCACAAGCUUUGAGGGCUCAGAACCACCACAGGUCUGGAAUACAGGGUCAGCAGCUCUGGGAAAGAAGGCAGAUCGCUGAAGCAGGAGCUGCAAUAUGUGUGUGGAGACGUGGAAAAGACAGAUAUUUCUCCAUGUAGUGCUUGGAAAACAAAACAACAGCAGCAAGGAUCAGGAGGGAUACGGGAGGAGCGAUCUUAAGUGGUGCAUUUCCCACAGCCCCGGCAGAGGGAGGAUGUGGAGCUGAGGAAGCCAGAGGGGAGGGCUGCCCUGGGCAUGGUGCCUCGGGCAGGAGCUGGCCAGGGCCCUGGCUGGCAGCCACAUGGAGCUGUCCACCAGUACAUUCCUUCCACAGCAGGAGAGAUGCAGGAAGGGGGCUGCAGUCCUGAGACACAUCCCUUGUCUCCCUCUUUCUUGUUUCCUUGCUAAGCAUGCUGGUCAGAGAUAGCAAAUGAGACAAAUGGGCCAACGAGCAACUAUUAAUAUACUUUGUUCUCUUAGGCCCUUUUUAUUUUCACAGAAGGCAAAGGCCAAAGGCUUUUUAUCUGCAUGGUUUUGUUCAGUAGAAAACUGUAGAACCAUGACCAGCAAGGUCUAACACAUUUCUUAGCAAUCAUUUAUUUUAAAGAAAAUGAAAAAUUUGUCAUUAAAGGACAAUGGGAAAAUUACAGAUUUAAGAGGUUCUCCUCAUACAGAUGAUGCACUUGUAGGUUAUUCUUGUCUCCUGCCAGAGAUGACCCAAGGCUUGUCCAUGUGCUUUGACUCUCCAGCACUUGCCUUGCUUUGUCAAGACAGAAAAAUCUUUGGGCGUUCAAACUUUUCAAGUGAGCAUUCCCUUCAAAUAAUAACGCAUAAUAACACCAUGCUCCACUAAGGGGAACAGAGUCAUAGAACCAUGCAAUCACAGAAUGGCCUGAGUUGGAAGGGACCUUUAAAGCUCACAGAAGUUCCAAUCCCCCUG